rnacentral:rRNA from 1 species
GUUGACCUCGGAUCAGGUAGGGAUACCCGCUGAACUUAAGCAUAUCAUAAACGGAGGAAA